CAGUUGUACUGGUCGCCGGCCCGCCCACCGAAGAUCGGUUGUCCCGGAGAGGAACGCACAAGAUCCCCUAGUCACGCUUGUGGCUGGCGGAUGGGAUCCGGUGGGUGGACGCCGAACGGAGAUCCUCAGGGUAAGACCCAGAGUCUUGUCUCACCUUCUUGCUCACUCGAGGGUCCCAGAGCCACCCAGUAUGUCAAACGAACCAAAUGCUCCGGGGACUUCACCCCGGACUCCUCGUCCUGGGACCCAGAAGUCAUCUGGUGCAGUGACCAAGAAGGGGGAUCGCGGUGCGAAGGAGAAGACAGCAACUGCCCUGCCGCCUGUGGGCGAGGAGGAGCCCAAAAAUCCUGAGGAGUACCAGUGCACAGGGAUCCUGGAGAUUGACUUCACUGAGCUCUGCACCCGCUCAGGCUACAGGGACUUCCCUAAAGUUGUCACUCGGCCCCGGCCGACCUUUGUCCCUUCAGCCUCCAUGUCAGAAAAACCCACCCAAGAUGACCAGCAGCUGUCGGCAUCCUGCAGCCUCAACAGCCUAGAGAGCAAAUACUCGUUCUACCGGCCCACCAUCCAGGUGGAGCUGGAGCAGGAGGACAAGGCAGUGAAGGAGAUCUAUAUCCGUGGUUGGAAGGUUGAGGAUCGGAUUCUGGGUAUCUUCUCCAAAUGCCUGCCUUCCCUCAGCCAGCUGCAGGCCAUCAACUUGUGGAAUGUGGGGCUGACGGAUGAGACCCUGACCACUUUCAUCACCCUCUUGCCUCUCUGCUCAUCCACACUCAGGAAGGUGUCUCUGGAGGGGAAUCCUCUUCCGGAGCAGUCCUAUCAUAAGCUCGUGGCGUUGGAGAGCACGAUCUUUCACUUGUCUUUGAGGAACAACAAUAUUGACGACCGUGGGGCGCAGCUCCUAGGCCAGGCACUGUCCACGUUGCACAGCUGCAACCGGACCCUCGUUUCGCUGAACCUGGCAUUCAACCACAUCGGGGAUCAAGGCGCGGGUUACAUCGCGGAUGGCCUGCGGCUUAACCGUUCCCUUCUCUGGCUGUCCCUGUCGCACAACCGCAUUCAGGACAAGGGCGCAUUGAAGCUGGCUGAGGUUCUGCGCCCCUUCGAGCUGACUCACACGGAGGUGGUGGAGCGUAGACGCCUCCUGCUGGUGAAAGGGUCACAGGAGCGGUUGCAUUCGCCCUCUACCUCCCGACACGUGGACUCCAAAAUGGACCGUGAGAAGUCUCAGAUGGUGGGGAUCAGCAGUGUCGCAUCGGUGGACAAGCAAGAAAAGAUGCAGACAAUGAAAACCCCUAAGGGCCUGAGCAAGAAAAAGAAGCCAGGGGAAGUGAUAAAGAAGGAGGAGAAGUCAGGAUCUGGGCAGUCGCCCACACAAGGAACCCCUAAGAAAGAAGAUACCACAAAGUUCAGCAAGGGGAAGGCGACCAUCCCUGAGCAGAAGAUGAGUAAGGUAAAAGGGAUGAAGAUCGGGAGCAAAGAGAAGCACAGCAGCCUCUUGGAGUCAGAGGAGUGGCCCCAAUUUGGAUCUGCUGUCCAACUGAGGCUGUGUCCUUGGAGGCCAGCAGCUCAUCACUAGCCCCUCCAGCAUCAGCCUGAUAGUUGCCGAAACAAAGCUUCCUUCUGCCCCUCAAAGCACUCUGAGUCAUGGUACUGCACCAAGCAAGGCUUCAGAUCCUCCCCCACUUUUCCUUGUGACUCAACCUGCUCCUUAGGAAACCAUCCUGGAACAACUUCUAGUUCUAAUUCCCCCAGUCCUCCAUCCUGUCACCUGCCUGGUCUCUGUCCUGUCCGUUGGAAAACCCACACAACCCUGUCACAUUCUCCUAGCAGGGAAGGGGCCCUGUUCUUUUAGGAGUCUUUCCUGGCACCCUACACAAACUGACAGAAGAGCAAGUCAGACAGAAGCAGGGUCGUUUUCAAUUCCUGCCUUAGUCUUCACCUCUGUCUUGAGCAUGCUGCUACUUCUCACAGGGCCAUUAAUUAGUUCCUCAUUGUCUUCAGUCUGCUCCCCUCGUGGAAGAGUUAGGAAUCCCUAUUAAAGCCCUAGUACUGGUGCUGACUCCUGGCUCAAGAGCCUUUGCACUUGCUGUGUUCUUUACUUGGAACACUUUUCCUCAUCCUCUGAACUUCAGUUCCCAGACUGCCUCUUUCAAGACUGGGCUAGAUGUACACCCCAGCACCCCGCCCCAGGGAGCACUCCCAUAGUACUGUUUUCAGGGGCCAUGCCACACCACAUUCCUGUUUUAUUGUCUGGCUCCCCAACACCGGGAAACUUGAGGGUAUGGGCUGAUUUGUUUUUGUGCCCCCACCACCUAGGAUAGACUCGAUUAUAGCUGGCACUCAAAACCUGUAUGUUGAAUGAAUGAGCCUGUUGACCAGCUCCCCUCUUCUCUGCUGCAAUUAUGUUUUGCUUUAGUAGCUGGUUGGUGAAGCUACAGAGAUGGUUAACCCGCUCCUGGAGCCCGUGGAGCACCAUGAUGGGAAGGUUUUCAUGCCUGGGAACAAGGUCCUUUUGCACCUCAACCUCUUCAGAAACCGCAUCACAGAGGUGGGGCUGGACGGCUU